rnacentral:sRNA from 1 species
GAGCAGCUUGGCAACGCGCUCGGCAUGGAACACGACACCGGCGGUCCAGCCAUGGUCGGCCGCCGGGAUCGACAC